ensembl:rRNA 5S_rRNA 5S ribosomal RNA
GCUUACGGCCAUACCACUCUGACAAAGCCCGAUCUCAUCUGACCUCGGAAGCAAAGCAAAGUUGGGCCUGGUUAGUACUUGCUUGGGAGACUGAAUGGGAAUACUAGGUGCUGUAAGCU